AUUGAACGCUGGCGGCAGGCCUAACACAUGCAAGUCGAACGAGUGGCGGACGGGUGAGUAAUGUCUGGGACACUGCCUUAUGGAGGGGGAUAACUACUGGAAACGGUCGCUAAUCCCACAUACCCUCAGAUGUGCCCAGAUGGGUUUAGCUUGUUGGUGGGGUAACGGCUCACCAAGGCCACGAUCCCUAGCUGGUCUGAGAGGAUGACCAGCCACACUGGAACUGAGACACGGCCCAGACUCCUACGGGAGGCAGCAGGGGGGAAUAUUGCACAAUGGGCGCAAGCCUGAUGCAGCCAUGCCGCGUGUAUGAAGAAGGCCUUCGGGUUGUAAAGUACUUUCAGCGGGGAGGCGUUACCCGCAGAAGAAGCACCGGCUAACUCCGUGCCAGCAGCCGCGGUAAUAC
rnacentral:rRNA from 1 species